AGGACGCCCAGCGCGAGGUGCAGCGGCUGCGGAGCGCCAAAGAGCUCCUGAGAAGGGAGAAGAGCAACCUGGCCCACAGCCUGCAGGUGGCCCAGCAGCAGGCCAAGGAGCUGCGGCAGGAGCGGAAGAAGCUGCAGGCUGCCCAGGAGGAGCUGCGGCGCCAGCGGUACUGGCUGGGGGAAGAGCAGGAGGACGCAGUGCAGGAUGGUGUGCGGGUGCGCCGGGAGCUUGAGCACAGGUGAACAGCAUCUCGCCACCCUGCCAGGGCCCUUCAAAUGUGCCUCAGGUCCCCUGACAGUGCCCCGGGGGUUAGGGAGCACCCACUGGGUCCUGGGCCUCCUACCAUCUGGACCCCUCUGAUGUCGGGUUUUCUAACCAGACCCAUUGCAGGAAAUUGGGGCUCAGGGAGGUGUACUCACUUACCUGGGGUCAGAGAACUAGUUAAAAGGUAGAACUUGGAUGAUAAUAACAAGAAUAAUUAAAAUAACAGUAGUAAUAUUAACGAUAGUAUUUUUUAAAUUAAGUUAUGAUCAUAAUAAUAUCCUUACUGAUUUCACUAAGUGCCAGAUACCAUUUUAAGCAAUUCAGUUCUCUCAUUUAACCUAUGAUAACUGUGACAUAGAAGCUGUUAUCUUCAUUUUAUGGACGGUAAACUGAGGCACAGAGAAGCCAUGUCACUUGCCCCAGGUCACACAGCUAGUUAGAAGAGCCAGGAUUUGAACCCAGACAUUCUGCCUUUAGAGUUAACCUCUUCACCACUGCGCUGCUUACCUCUCAGGGACGUGAUCGCUGAUGAUGUUUAGUAGACUGUGGUGGAGCAUGUUAUUCUUGUUUCUGAAGGUCCUUGGGGAGAUGUGUCAGGCACUAUUUUAAGCACAUGUGAAGUUUGUAGCCUUAAAACAGGCUGGGCACGGUGGCUCACGCCUGUAAUCCCAGCACUUUGGGAGGCCGAGGCAGGCGAAUCGCCUGAGGUCAGGAGUUCGAGACCAGCCUGGUCAACAUGGGGAAACCCUGUCUGUACUAAAACUACAAAAAUUAGCCAGGCGUGGUGGUGCAUGCCUGUAAUCCCAGCUACUCGGGAGACUGAGGCAGGAGAAUGGCUUGAACCCAGGAGGCGGAGGUUGCAGUGAGCUGAGAUCUCACCACUGUACUCCAGCCUGAGCGACAGAGCGAGACUCUGUCUCAAAGAAAACAAAGAAACUAUGUGACAAGGUAGGUGUUACCUCAUUUUGCAGAUGUGGAAACGGAGGCCCAGGGUCAUGGAGCUAAGCAGUAGUGGGCUUGGUUGCCCUGUGGCUCAGGCUGUUUCUCUCCAAACUCCUGCCUCAGGCCUGGUCCACAGCCAAGCAUCUCGCUGGCUGUGGGAGAUUCGGGGCAGGAAAGUGACAUGGGCCACCCACCUGCCCUCUGUCCUGCAGCCAUAGACAACUGGAGCAGCUGGAAGGGAAGCGCUCAGUCCUGGCCAAGGAGCUGGUGGAGGUGAGGGAGGCGCUGAGCCGCGCCACACUGCAACGGGACAUGCUGCAGGCCGAGAAGGCCGAGGUGGCCGAGGCGCUGACCAAG
rnacentral:lncRNA from 10 species